CUUGAAAAUGACACUUUACAAAGUCUAUUUGCUAUAUUUUCUCAUUUAGAUUUUAAUACAGGAUCCAGUGAUUUUUUAACACCGGAUCAAACUGGCCCAUUAUUUGAAAACAACAACUCGAGAAGACACAGUGUCUCCAGCAUCAGCAUAUCAGAAGAAAAUCCCGAACAUUUGUUCAGCAAUUUGUACGAAGAUUUGACGCCAUCAGACGUCAGCACAGCUCAGGAAAAUACAGCAAAUACUCAUUACAAUCAAAGAUUGACCAAUUUAGAAGAGACUUUAGGAUCACAAUUGCAGCGAGAAAACUUGGGGCAUGAAUUCUUUGCUGGCGAAAGUGAGGAUAUAUCGAACGAUAUGGAAUUUGAUGAGACAAAUAGAGCAAUUUCCUGGGAAUCUCUACAGAACACUGAGGAUACGUUACUAAAAUGGCCGGGGAGUACAAAUAUAGACCUAUCACCAGAACAGGAUAAUUCAAGAGUCCGCGGUGAAGACUGGAGGAUCACCUAUCAACAUCAUACUGGUGACUGGUCCAGUGGUUAUGAAAGAUAUCUAAUUAAUAAAAUGUUGGAUCAGGAGUGGUUUCCUUGGAGCUCUGACAUGUCUUCAGAGAACACAAGUGAGGCAGACAAAAUGGAAUUUGCUUGUGUAAAUAAUGAAUUGUGGGAAAAGUUUAGUACUACUGUACGGAACCGAUACAAGGACUGCAAAUUUACGUGUGACUAUGAGGGCGUGUCUGAGGGAAAUUCAAGAUGGAAGCGCUUCAUAAUAAGAAUUAUGGGAUGCAGGAAAGGUAGAAGACGUGUUAGAAGAUCGUGCAGACUGGAGUGGGGGAAGUCUCGUAGAAAUAAAACACAUCCCACUGUUUAGCAUUUGUAUUUCAGUUGGUAGGGUAACUGACAUGCACAAUGGUUUUUGUGUUAAUCAUUCUUAUGUUGUAAGCCAUAUCGAAAACGACAGCUCAGUAAAGUUAAGUGACUGGGAAAAAGGUGGGCGACCUUAAUUAGAUUUUAGAUGGCAUUGUAAUAUUUAAUAUAUAUUCUUGUAUGAUAACGAAAAAUAAGUUUAUGGUGCCAUCAUGGUUAUUCCAAUUAUAUAUAAUAACUUGUAAGCCAGAAUGUUGGUUUUAUACGAAACUUGGCAUGAACAUCAUACCGCUGGAAGUUACCUUACCUGCGUAUAUUUUAAUGUAAUAUAAUUAUUAUAUCAAAAUGGACGUGUGCAUUUCAGAAGCGAGACUAAUGUAACGUCCUAAAAAUUAGUGUGAUAACAGACCGUCUAAUAAAUAUGAAAAUUAUGCACUUAAGUUUUCUAAAAUCUGAAACAAAAUGACUGCCAAGAAUCAACAUUUAGCUUUCGGUUUGAUGGAUAGUAAAAAUUAAUCAUUGGGAAAAUAUUGUAUGGGGAUCGAUAAUAAACAUAACUGAAAGUACUGUCUUGUUUGUUAACAAUUACGUAUAGGGUAACGGUGAAAAUAUGAGAACAAAAUAAUUCUAUUGCCAGAGCUACGUUAAAAUGCAGACAGUGUACUUCUCCGAAACUUUGGUACGUAACUACGACCCUAUACAGCGUCACAACUCAGAGACAUCAUCGGGGCGAUGACGAAGGCAGCAAGGACCUCUGAAACGUCCCUAAACUUCUAUCACACUACACGGCGCAACAACCCAGAAGACAGCCAUCUUCAGCCUCACCGCCGUGAAAACCUGAAAUCCUACCUAUUAUUAAUAAUAAUUAAUUUUUUUAAAGUCUCAUACAUAAGUGGAACUAUGUCAAGGCAUCACAGGUUCAUUAAAAGAAUUUAUUUUGUUUUCACGUGCAGAUCGACUCAUCCAGUGGGCUCAAAGACUUUUCCCCUGGGGUAAAGCAGCUAUAAUUAUUAUCCGUCUAGUUCCCAAGUUAAGAAUGUGUGUAGCUUCACUGCCACGUCUCUUAUACUCCUUCUUGUUAAAAAGUUUUUUCAGCAUGACGAUUAGAAACAGGGAUAACUUUACAUUCAUACUUAGAUAAAAACCCCGACGUUUCGGAAGGUAUUUGUACUUAAAAAUAUCAAUGCAGAAAAGCAGAAGAUUUUGAAAGUCUCGAUCUUAUAGACAACAACGACUGUGCUUAUAGAGUGAGAAUAUUUGUUAUUUAUUUACUCAAGGACAAAUUUUGAUGAUUGUGUUAUAAUCUACACGCAAAACCUGUUAGUGGUCUUGAAACUUAACUUGAGGUUUUAUAAACAUAGUCCUCUAGUGAAAACAGACGGAUUCUAAUGCUGAACGCAAUCUGAGCCUUAUGAGGAGUUUUACUGCACAGAAUGAAAUUAAUUAUUAUAACAGACUGAGCAAAACAUCCGUAAAAAUCGGUGGAAAAAACAGGAUUUCAGGAAAUUGCUCUGGUUCUGGAAGUGGAAGGGGAUGUGGUACUUUUUCUUGCGCUGUGUACAGUGUGUUCCCUUAAAUACAUUAAGAUGCUUCUGUACGGUGUCAACCUCUUAACAGCACAUACUGUGGUAGAUGACAGCCACGACCGGUUACAUGAAGACGUACACGUAAUACGGAUAUCUGUCUAGUCUUCCAGUUACACCGACAGGCGACAAUCUGAUCUGCCUUGUGUGUAUCCGUAAAACUUUCCAGAACAAACGUACAAAUUGUAACAAUGAAGUGGAACACAGUGUUCAUGUUGUCUGCAUUGUUUCUCGUGACAAUUAGUGGCUUCACUAUAAAAUCUGGUGUCGACCGGAAGUCAAAUGAUUUUGGUUCGAAUGUUCGUGAUAAAAUUAAUUCGAAUAAAGUUAUUAACAACAAUGAAGCAGUCAGUAAAUUUAAAAGAAAUGAAGACAAAAGUCAUGAAUCAGCCAAUAGCGAUUCUUCGGAAAUUUAUUUUUCCGAUCAAGAUUAUUAUUACGAUGAUGAUUAUAAUGAUGAUGAGUUUAAUAAUAACGAUAAUACAUUUGAUAAAGGUGAAAAAGGCGGUGACGAAAAUGAAGAAGGUAAUGAUGAUGACAUAGAUGAUGAUGUGUCUAAAUAUGCUUACGAUUAUACGAACGAUGAUGAAAUUUCUGACGAAAAUCAUAACGAAAAUAAACACGAAAGCGAACUGGUGAGAGUAAUUAGGAAAUACGUGUACGAACCGUCUGUAGUUAAAACCACGCAUGAAUAUUACGAUGAUUCUAAUGAUAAAGAAAAAUAUGACAAACAAUAUGGCGCCGGUCCUGAUGACAGUGAAGGGAAGACGCAUGAAGACUGGCCAUUGUUGGAAGACGACAAUGGAGUCGUAGUUGUGGUGGAUUCUGCCCAAGGCGUGCGUAGCCGUGAGCAACACGGGAAUCAAAGGUGCUUCUUCGGUUGGUAUCUGAACGCUAACGGCAUAUGCGCACCUCCUAGAAAUAAAUGUGAACCGGGGCUCGUCCACAACAAUGCAGGGGAAUGUGUCGGACCCGACAAUGGCUACUGGUACAAGUGAUAACAGGUAACUUACGGAGAGCGCCACUGAAUUCAUCAUUAAUAGGAAAUUUAUUCUCUGUGACCUGAAUUGUCCUGAUAAUUUUUAUAUUCUUCAGAAGACUUAAAUUCUCAACAUUUGUUUACAAGUGUGUUACAAACUUACAAGCAGGACGUUAACACAAUUCACGAUGACCAUCACAAUCUUGUGCGUAUUUUGAAGUAAAACUCCUUAUGUUUAAUAUUACGUUUAUAUUAAUGAAAAGCCUGCAAAUAUUCAUUCAAAUUUGAACAUCCACUAUGUAACAUAAUAGUCAUAAUAAACUGAGUGAACUUAUUUUUUACUGUUCUGACAAUCUCUCGGUACAGUCACUGCCUAUGCAGCUGGAGUUCCAUUCCGAAAAAUUACGGAUUGUCUUCGACAAUAUAUUCACGCUCCAAGCUCCCAUCCAUUGAAUACUGAGGUUCCUUUCCAGGGGAUAAAUCGGCCGGAAAUUAAAGUUGACAACUCGCCUCCAUCAACCAUCAAAAUUAAAAACACGUGGAGUUUUACCAUCACUUCCGCUUUCACUUUCAUGGCGACGGACGGACGAUCGAUGAGGUAGAUAGAUUGAAUCAAUUAAUUAUACACCCACACACACAAUAUCUUUGUGAAAGGCUUUCAAUAUUUUUCUUCUAACCAUAUAUCUCAAGUGGUAUUUUUACUUCAGCAUCUCUGGCUAAAAUUUUGUAUUUAUUUUUCACGACUUCCAUCCGAGGCCCUGUGUAGAUCUAACAUUUCGUAACAAGAUGGUUCCUUUUUACGAAAACGGUUUGUUUGAGAGACGUUCAAUUUCUAAGCUAGACGACCACCCAAAGCAGUCACUUACAUUUUUGCACCUCCAUACCCCCAAUCUAAAAAUUCGUACAACAUUUUGACUGGAAAGCCUGAGGGGAAGAGACAACUUAUAAGACUUUGGCGUAGAUGGAAGGACAAUAUUGAUUUUGAAUUUUAGGAAAACGGUGUUUGGGAUAUCAUAAAUGGCUGUGAAUUUCUUGAUUAACUGAGCGUACUAUUACGUUCUCGAGGUUUCUGCUCCAAGCAGUUAGCUUUCCAGAACGCUUAUUAUCAGGGCGAUCACAUCAGGAAAGAGCGGGACAUUUAGCGCGCAUGGGAGAGAUGAGAAAUACAAAAUAUUCGUCGGAAAAUCAAAAAAGAGGAGACCAUUUACAAUCACUGGGUGUUGAUAGGAAGAUAAUAUUAAAAGGGAUCUAAAAUAAAUAUGGGUGUGAGAGUGCCAACUGGAUUAAUCUGGAUCAAAAUAUGAUCAAGUGGAGGGCUGUUGUGCACUCGCUGAUGAAGCAUCGCGUUCCAUAAAAGCCAGGGAGUUACUGACCAGACGAGCGAAUAUCAGCUUCUCAAGAAAAUUAAAAUUUUGUGGCACUCUCAGACUAAAACAAUGUCGGUGAAGGAAGUUGUGGUAUUAAAGGGAAGUUUAUGCCAAUAGAUAAUUUUACGUGAAGCAACAAAGAUCCAAGACUUCCGCCACUAGGCACAGCAGAAUUUCAAGACCUUCCUUAUUCCAGUGAACACACAUGUGGUUACAAGAACGCUCCAUAAAUGCAAUGUUUUGUUACACGGUCUUAAGAAACACAGUAAAUUUUGUUUAGUCAUUAAAGUGUUGACAAUGCGAUGCCAGUUAAACGUGUUAAUUUUAUUAGGUACUUCAAAAUACCACAUUAAGAAAUUAAAAAUGGUGUGUCAGAUUUAAAAUAUAGUGCCAAUUAUCAUUGUUUUGCGUAUGUUUUUGGAAAAUAAUGUUUACUAAAACAAUGAACAUAACAGAACGAUUCUCUGCUGCCAGUGUUUUGUUGAUUGUUGGGAUAGACAUAAUUCUGUCCAUUUGUAAAGCGUCUGGAUUCUUCGUGCUUGGUUCACCGUGGAUUAUUAACGGACCAACAUUAAAACCACCCUGUUCUGUUAGGCGGCACCUUAAUAAGAACAAUAAAUGUGUCGAAAGGUUCACAAUCAAACCCAAAAAGACAAAUCCCUUGUUGCGAGUUCAGUACACCUUGCACCAACACAGGAAACUGUCAAAUGGAAAGAAAUUAUAUCGCUAAAAAGAAGGAAACAACUUCAAAAGUGCAACCUGAGACCCACGCUGAACUGUUUAGGCAUGAAUUUGGUUCAGCGACAAGAAUGAAUUAUUUGGUAAGAAGAAAAGCGAUCGGAAAUGGAAAGACCAACAGACCCAGUUAUUAAUUAUAAAUUGCAGAUGUGUUAUCGGCGCAGUUCAGCAUGACAUACCAGGAUCUCGGCGUCAAAGUUCAAGCAAACCAACACUCAGUGAGAAAAAUUAUACCCUACACAUGGUCAGAACCGGACCAGUUAUUGUUUGUGGUGCCAGUAACUGAAAGUGUUUUGACACAUUGGGAUGUUAUGUAACAGAGAAGUGUUUAUGAACGCAACGCAAAGACAUCUGGUCAGGUUUGAAGCGUGUGGAACUUCGUAUUGUACCUUUCAUUAGCUGUAAUUUGGACUAUGGACAUACAAGUUCAGUAACGGAGUUUACUUUUACCGAAUGUUGUGAAACGAACGUCGUAAUAAGGUUAGGAAAAGUGUUAUCUACAUUGUAACAAUGAAAUUACUAGCAUGUUUGUCAUUUAAUUAUGUUGGGUUGGUGUUGCUGACACUGAACAAUGGUGCGUAUAAUAUACCUAUUUCUGGAGAAUACUCAUUAUACGAUUCUGACAGUGCAGAAGAUGUAGGACUGACAUUUUCAGACUGUAUAGAAAGUGAAGAUUGCAUGAAACUCUUCACAGACAACGGAAAUAAAGUUGGUAGGAUUAUUGUCGACUUAAACACCAAAAGCAAUUGUACAACUGAGGUAAAUACCGAUAAAAAUGCGAUGCCAAACGAUGCACAAGUUUUAACUCGAUCAACAGAGAAGAAACUGAAUAACAAUACAUAUAAUGUAACAUCUACAACAGAAAGAAAUUAUGAGUUUAAUGAGGUUGUUGAAUCCGAAAUCAACGGUUUAGUGUCUUCGAAUGUUUUUAAUAACGACAUCGAUGAACUGGUUUUUGAGAAAAGUGACGCCAUUGACGGCCAUGUUGGAGUCUCAUUAAUCGAUGACGUUCAUUAUGAAGACAUACCAGGAAUUUUAAUAAUAUCUAUUGUAAAUUACGAUGGCGAAACUCGUGAUAUUGAUUUGGGAAAUGCAGCUGAAGUAAGUGGUGAUGAAAUUACACUGGACUUCAACAGCGCUGUCCAAGCUCUCGCGGAUUUCAUAGACAACAUGUCUUCAGAAGAUGGUAUGGAAUGGACUGAAGAUAGUGAAUUUGAAGAUCCUCACCGAAUUGUGGAAGACGGUUACAUUUUCUACGAUAUGGGGUCCCAAGAAUAGGCUUACAAUAUGAGGCAGGCAGAAGAUGAUGCCAAGAUUAAGGCAGAACGAAAUGUUUUGCCUCUUUUCUUAAAAUUAAUUGUACAAUUCAUCAUUCCAUACUGGGUCCUAAUUUUCGUUCUCAAAGAAACAAUUAUACUGAUAACCUACAAGAAUAUUAGUUGAUAUUAUGAACAUUGUACCAAAUUGUGCUGACUGAAUUUCUCAAAAGGCCUAUACUAUAUUCAUUUCUAAGGCCACUUUACUCUAAUGAACACUUUAAAUGUAUGUAAAACAGCCUAUUUCAUUUUGUGUAUCAUAUAAACAAAAUAUACGCUGACAUCCCCA